ACAGAAUAAUCUAAUGAGAUUUGGCAAAAAUUUGACCAAAAAGGUUAGAAAAUUAUGAAGAUCAGUAUUUGAAGGAAGGAUUCUAUUUUCCAUCAUAACAAUGCAUCUUGGCCUAAGUUCUGUGCCAACACUAUUGGUAGUAGAGUGUACAUUUAACUAUAAACACAUACACAAAUGUUUGGACUAAGAAUAUAUGUUCAGAGGUUAUUUUUAUGAAUGAGUUGCAUGAUUUAAAAAGAUCUGGGAAUCAUUGGCUUAGAAUGUAACUUUAGUACUAAACUGGGAAAUAAUAGUUUGCUGACUGGAAACUUUUAAAGCAUGGUUUUGUGUAUAAUAUAUUUCUCUUUUCUGGAGUAAGUAGAAAAAUUAUUUUUUUAUUUUAUGACAUGUGUUUUCCAUUUUGUGCUGUGUAUUGUGUUACCAGAUUUGCUGAUUCCAAGAUAAGCAGGCAUCUCCUGAGAAUUAAUAUAGCUGAGCUGGAUUCUCUGGGCAGGAAAACUUCUGUUUUUAUAGAUUGGCAAACUCCAUCAUAGAAAGUUUCAGGUGUCUUAAAGGUCACACAGAUGAAAAUGUGGCCCUCAAACCCUCCUUAUUGGUUGUUCACUUUAGAACACAUUCAUUCCAGAUA